ensembl:lncRNA
UGCCAUACCAACUGCCUUUCUCAAGUCUUUUUUUUUUUUUUUUCCUACAGGAGAGAAAAGAGGGGGGUUGUGGAGGGGAGGAAGGCUAAGCAGCCUGUGGGAGGGGUAGGGGUGAGGACCAGCCUGCUGUGCAGGACAAUUCAGUCUUAAGGAAAGCUUCCUUGGGUCCUGAAACGUGGGACUGAAAACUCCCAACAAUUGGCAUGUCACCUCAACCCAGGUCAUUCUGACCCAUGACCACCAGGAGGUCCAUAUUGAAGACUGAACUUCUUAAAGGCCAGCAAACUUGGCAUGCACUGGAUAAAGAGGAAAAAACAAAUUCCAGAGGCCUUUCUAAAGUGCUCCACACUCAAACAAAGCCCAUUGUUGCUGAUUGAAAGCCUGGAUUCCCUUUAAGAGGACACCUGCGUUACAGGACCAGUGAUUAGGAUUCCUGUAUCAAAUGCUUGAAGGGUCAACAAAGUUUAGGCAAGAAGUCAUUCCAGAACUGGGGAGAUUAUGGAGGUAGGAAAUUGGGAAUCAUGGAGAAUUUCCUAAAUAUUCUUUUUGCCUUCCCACAGUGCCCUCACUCCUCCCCUUUUCCAAUCAAUUGCAAAGUCCUGCUGAUUCUAUUUCAAUAAUUAUCAUUUACUUCUGCUCCCUCUUUCCCACUCCCUUUGCAGCUGCCCUAGCUCAGAAUUUCAUCUUGCCUAGAUGGCUGCAAUGGCUUCCUAACUGUUUUUUGUUUUGUUUUGCUUUUAGUUUUCUUUAGCUCAUCCUUCACUACAUCAUUCUGUCAUUCAAAAACACUUG